rnacentral:rRNA from 1 species
GCCUGAGAAACGGCUACCACAUCCAAGGAAGGCAGCAGGCACGCAAAUUACCCACUCCUGACACGGGCAGGUAGUGACAAAAAAUAACGAUACAGGCCUCUUCGGAGGCCCUGUGAUCGGAAUGAGUACACUUUAAAUCCUUUAACGAGGAUCUACUGGAGGGCAAGUCUGGUGCCAGCAGCCGCGAUAAUUCCAGCUCCAGCAGCGUAUAUUAAAUUUGCUGCAGUUAAAAAGCUCGUAGUCGGAUUUCUGGCCGGGGCGGGCGGUCCGCCGCGAGGCGAGUACUGCCCGUUCCCCCUUCUCCCCGUCAAAAGGGAGUCGCGGGGAGUCUUUCCCGGCCAGUCAUUCGGUUGGUCGUGCGGUGCUCUUAGCUGAGUGCCGUGCGUGACCGGAACGUUUACUUUGAGAAAAUUAGAGUGUUCAAAGCAGGCCAAAGUGCCCGAACAGCUCAGCAUGGAAUAGUGGAAGAGGACCUCGGUUCUAUUUCGUUGGUCUUGAGAUCCUGAGGUAAUGAUCAAGAGGGACUGCCGGGGGCAUUCGUAUUGCGGCGUGAGAGGUGAAAUUCAUGGAUCGUCGCAAGACGCCCGACAGCGAAAGCAUUUGCCAAGAAUGUCUUCAUUGAUCAAGAACGAAAGUCGGAGGAUCGAAGGCGAUCAGAUACCGCCCUAGUUUUGACCAUAAACGAUACCGACUCGUAAUUCGCCGGCGUUCCUCCCAUGACGCGGCGGGCAACUCUCCGGAAAACCCACGUCUUUGGGUUCCGGGGGAAGUAUGGUUGCAAAGCUGAAACUUAAAGGAAUUGACGGAAGGGCACCACCAGGAGUGGAGCCUGCGGCUUAAUUUGACUCAACACGGGGAAACCUACCCGGCCCGGACACAGUAAGGAUUGACAGAUUGAGAGCUCUUUCUUGAUUUUGUGGAUGGUGGUGCAUGGCCGUUCUUAGUUGGUGGAGUGAUUUGUCUGGUUAAUUCCGAUAACGAACGAGACUCUGGCUUAUUAAAUAGUCCGGCCACCCGUCGUGGUGAGCCGCGAACUUCUUAGAGGGACAAAUGGCUUUUAGCCAUACGAGAUGGAGCAAUAACAGGUCUGUGAUGCCCUUAGAUGUCCGGGGCCGCACGCGCGCUACACUGGCGCAAGCAGCGGGUACACAUGCCCUCGGCCGACAGGUCCGGGUAAUCCGCUGAGACUUCUCCGUGAUGGGGACAGGGACUUGUAAUUGUGUCCCUUGAACGAGGAAUUCCAAGUAAACGCGAGUCAUCAGCUCGCAUUGAUUACGUCCCUGCCCUUUGUACACACCGCCCGUCGCUACUAC